rnacentral:misc_RNA from 1 species
GAAAUGCGAUAAGUAAUGUGAAUUGCAGAAUUCAGUGAAUCAUCGAAUCUUUGAACGCACCUUGCGCUCCUUGGUAUUCCUUGGAGCAUGCCUGUUUGAGUAUCAUGAAAUCUUCAAAGUAAAUCUUUUGUUAACUCAAUUGGUUUCUACUUUGGUAUUGCAGGUCUUUGCAGCUUCACACCUGCUCCUCUUUGUUCAUUAGCUGGAUCUCAGUGUUAUGCUUGGUUCCACUCGGCGUGAUAAGUUAUCUAUCGCUGAGGACACUGUAAAAGGUGGCCAAGGUAAAUGCAGAUGAACCGCUUCUAAUAGUCCAUUGACUUGGACAAUACUUUUAUGAUCUGAUCUCAAAUCAGGUAGGACUACCCGCUGAACUUAAGC